UACGUAGGGUGCAAGCGUUGUCCGGAAUUAUUGGGCGUAAAGGGCAGGUAGGUGGUCCGAUUUGUCUGGGGUGAAAUCCCAGGGCUUAACCCUGGAAGUGCCCCAGAAACGGUCGGACUAGAGUGCUGGAGAGGGUCGUGGAAUUCCCGGUGUAGCGGUGAAAUGCGUAGAGAUCUGGAGGAAUACCGGUGGCGAAGGCGGCAUCCUGGACCGGCAUUGACGCUGAGGAGCGAAAGCCAGGGGAGCAAACGGG
rnacentral:rRNA from 1 species